CAUUUUCGCCUGGCAGGUCAGCUCAGUGUUUGAGUGUCUGAAGCCGUUGGCUGCUCCUCAACCGUUCGGCUCUUUCUCUACGAGCAAACAGCCUUACAAUGUUCCUCAAUCCCUCCUAAAACCUUUAUUUUUUAGCUUUUAUAAAGGGGCAAUGACUACAUACACAUAACACGACGAUUACAUGGGAAUUUAACUACCAGACCACCAUCGUCAACUAGGUUUAUAACGCGUUAUUGGCAGCGCAUUUUUAAAUAUAUCAGAGGAAACUCCACACUGCACAGCAGAGAAACCAGCCCUGUGUGAUCUGGAUAUUAACGGCUGCAGAGAGGCCGUGUGCAGUGCUGCCUCCCUGUCGCUGGGCUCUGGAGCGGCGCUGGGUCACAUGAUCUCUACAUUCAUUAACACCACAUCGUUCAGUCAGGUACUGGUGAACUGUAAUACCUUCAGAGGAACUAAAACUAUCCAAAUGUUUGUGUAGCCUACUGUGACAUAUUAGUUUCUCUUGCAUCUCCAAACACCUCAGUCAACAUUUCAUUUCAUUUAAGAUGCAUAAAUUGUAAAAGGGAAUAUUAUGCUAAUGUACUCAAGCAGCUGGGAGGAGUUUGAUAGCUGUGUUAAGUGUCUGUGGCCUGGUUUUAAUUAGCUUUGCUCAGGCAUCAUUUGUCCGUGUUUAGCGCUAGCUGCUGCCUGGGAGCUGGUUGU